UGGGGAAUAUUGCACAAUGGGCGAAAGCCUGAUGCAGCAACGCCGCGUGAGUGAUGAAGGUCUUCGGAUUGUAAAGCUCUGUCUUUUGGGACGAUAAUGACGGUACCAAAGGAGGAAGCCACGGCUAACUACGUGCCAGCAGCCGCGGUAAUACGUAGGUGGCGAGCGUUGUCCGGAUUUACUGGGCGUAAAGGGUGCGUAGGCGGAUGUUUAAGUGAGAUGUGAAAUACCCGGGCUUAACUUGGGUGCUGCAUUUCAAACUGGAUAUCUAGAGUGCAGGAGAGGAGAAUGGAAUUCCUAGUGUAGCGGUGAAAUGCGUAGAGAUUAGGAAGAACACCAGUGGCGAAGGCGAUUCUCUGGACUGUAACUGACGCUGAGGCACGAAAGCGUGGGUAGCAAACA
rnacentral:rRNA from 1 species